CGCCUCUCUUCCUCCAUCACGCUCUCACACAGGCACAUCGCACAUAGAUCAUGACCAGAUCAGAUACCGAUCAAGACACCAAACGGUUCUAUAUGGAAGUCGUCAUCACCGGCGCUAUCAACAAGUGAUGGGUUUGUCAACACCGUCUUCUGGAUCCAGACCAUUCUCGACCGAAGCUUAGAUCGGGUAUAGGGCCGACGAGAUCGGAAGAGUACGGCAUCCCCGAUGAAUAUCUUUGUAGAAAGACAACUGUAGUAAGGAGUAACUUGAAUCCAGUCUUGAAUGAGGAGCUCAUGUUGUCUGUUCCUUGGCGAUAUGGAGAAUUGAAGGCAUGGAGCUUUACAGUUGGUUACAUCAUAUGAUGCUUGAAGAUUUGCCGAAUGGUAUUAUGGAUGAGGUACUGUGAGCAUGUUGCCAUUUGCUUUGAAAGAGUUUGUCCGUAUCAAAGAAGGGUUGCAGUUGUGGAGAAGAAAUUUUGUUGUCUCUGGAUGUAAUGAAUUAUUUUUAGUUGGCAAAUUUGUUGUAUGAUGCAUUUUUUUUUAUUAUAGU